rnacentral:rRNA from 1 species
AUUGAAUGCUGGCGGCAUGCCUUACACAUGCAAGUCGAACGGUAACGGGCCUUCGGGUGCCGACGAGUGGCGAACGGGCGAGUAAUGCAUCGGAACGUACCCGGAAGUGGGGGAUAACGUAGCGAAAGUUACGCCAAUACCGCAUAUUCUGUGAGCAGGAAAGUGGGGGACCGCAAGGCCUCACGCUUUCGGAGCGGCCGAUGUCGGAUUAGCUAGUUGGCGGGGUAAAGGCCCACCAAGGCGACGAUCCGUAGCGGGUCUGAGAGGAUGAUCCGCCAAACUGAGGAUGAGACACGGCCCAGACUCCUACGGGAGGCAGCAGUGGGGAAUUUUGGACAAUGGGCGCAAGCCUGAUCCAGCCAUGCCGCGUGAGUGAAGAAGGCCUUCGGGUUGUAAAGCUCUUUCGGCGGGGAAGAAAUUGCUUCGGUUAAUACCUGGAGUAGAUGACGGUACCCGCAUAAGAAGCACCGGCUAACUACGUGCCAGCCGCCGCCGUAAGAC